GAUGAACGCUGGCGGCGUGCCUAAUACAUGCAAGUCGAACGCUGAAGGAGGAGCUUGCUCUUCUGGAUGAGUUGCGAACGGGUGAGUAACGCGUAGGUAACCUGCCUGGUAGCGGGGGAUAACUAUUGGAAACGAUAGCUAAUACCGCAUGACAACAGUUCUUGCAUGAUAACUGUUUAAAAGGGGCAACUGCUCCACUACCAGAUGGACCUGCGUUGUAUUAGCUAGUUGGUGAGGUAACGGCUCACCAAGGCGACGAUACAUAGCCGACCGGGGAGGGGGGUCGGCCGCACUGGGACGGAGACACGGCCCAGACGCCUGCGGGAGGCAGCAGUAGGGAAUCUGAGGCAAUGGACGGAAGUCUGACCGAGCAACGCCGCGUGAGAGAAGAAGAUUUUCGGAUCGUAAAGAUCUGUUGUAAGAGAAGAACGGGUGUGAGAGUGGAAAGUGCACACUGUGACGGUAGCUGAACAGAAAGGGACGGCUAACUACGUG
rnacentral:rRNA from 1 species